GAUGAACGCUGGCGGCGUGCCUAAUACAUGCAAGUCGAGCGAACGGACGAGAAGCUUGCUUCUCUGAUGUUAGCGGCGGACGGGUGAGUAACACGUGGAUAUCCUACCUAUAAGACUGGGAUAACUUCGGGAAACCGGAGCUAAUACCGGAUAAUAUUUUGAACCGCAUGGUUCAAAAGUGAAAGACGGUCUUGCUGUCACUUAUAGAUGGAUCCGCGCUGCAUUAGCUAGUUGGUAAGGUAACGGCUUACCAAGGCAACGAUGCAUAGCCGACCUGAGAGGGUGAUCGGCCACACUGGAACUGAGACACGGGCCAGACUCCUACGGGAGGCAGCAGUAGGGAAUCUUCCGCAAUGGGCGAAAGCCUGACGGAGCAACGCCGCGUGAGUGAUGAAGGUCUUCGGAUCGUAAAACUCUGUUAUUAGGGAAGAACAUAUGUGUAAGUAACUGUGCACAUCUUGACGGUACCUAAUCAGAAAGCCACGGCUAACUACGUG
rnacentral:rRNA from 1 species